GGACUACAGGGGUUUCUAAUCCGUUUUGCUCCCCACGCUUUCGUGCCUCAGUGUCAGUAACAGAAUAGUUAACUGCCUUCGCCGUUAUUGAUGUUCUUCUAUAUAUCUGUGCAUUUUACCGCUCCACAUAGAGUUCCGUUAACCUCUCCUGUACUCAAGCCGGACAGUAUUACCAGUUUCCACGAGGUUGAGCCUCGAUUUGCCACUGAUAACUUAUCAGGCCACCUACGCACCCUUUACGCCCAAUAAUUCCGGAUAACGUUCGCCACCUACGUCUUACCGCGGCUGCUGGCAC
rnacentral:rRNA from 1 species